rnacentral:rRNA from 1 species
GUGAACGCUGGCGAUAGGCCUAACACAUGCAAGUCGAACGGCAGCACAGUAAGAGCUUGCUCUUACGGGUGGCGAGUGGCGGACGGGUGAGGAAUACAUCGGAAUCUACUUUUUCGUGGGGGAUAACGUAGGGAAACUUACGCUAAUACCGCAUACGACCUACGGGUGAAAGCAGGGGAUCUUCGGACCUUGCGCGAUUGAAUGAGCCGAUGUCGGAUUAGCUAGUUGGCGGGGUAAAGGCCCACCAAGGCGACGAUCCGUAGCUGGUCUGAGAGGAUGAUCAGCCACACUGGAACUGAGACACGGUCCAGACUCCUACGGGAGGCAGCAGUGGGGAAUAUUGGACAAUGGGCGCAGGCCUGAUCCAGCCAUACCGCGUGGGUGAAGAAGGCCUUCGGGUUGUAAAGCCCUUUUGUUGGGAAAGAAAAGCAGCAGGUUAAUACCCCGCUGUUCUGACGGUACCCAAAGAAUAAGCACCGGCUAACUUCGUG